AACGAACGCUGGCGGCGUGCUUAACACAUGCAGGUCGAACGGUAAGGACUUCGGGUACACGAGUGGCGAACGGGUGAGUAACACGUGGGUGAUCUGCCCCCUACUCUGGGAUAAGCCUGGGAAACUGGGUCUAAUACCGGAUAUGACCUCCUUCUGCAUGGUUGGUGGUGGAAAGUUUUUUCGGUAGGGGAUGAGCCCGCGGCCUAUCAGCUUGUUGGUGGGGUAAUGGCCUACCAAGGCGACGACGGGUAGCCGGCCUGAGAGGGCGACCGGCCACACUGGGACUGAGACACGGCCCAUACUCCUACGGGAGGCAGCAGUGGGGAAUAUUGCACAAUGGGCGAAAGCCUGAUGCAGCGACGCCGCGUGGGGGAUGACGGCCUUCGGGUUGUAAACCCCUUUCAGUCGGGACGAAGCGAGAGUGACGGUACCGAUAGAAGAAGCACCGGCCAACUAUGUGCCAGCCGCCGCAGUAAAAC
rnacentral:rRNA from 1 species